UGGGGAAUAUUGGACAAUGGGCGGAAGCCUGAUCCAGCAACGCCGCGUGAGGGAUGAAGGCCUUCGGGUUGUAAACCUCUUUCACCAUUGACGAAGCCUUUGGGUGACGGUAGGUGGAGAAGAAGCACCGGCCAACUACGUGCCAGCAGCCGCGGUAAUACGUAGGGUGCGAGCGUUGUCCGGAAUUAUUGGGCGUAAAGGGCUCGUAGGCGGUUUGUCGCGUCGGGAGUGAAAACAUCGGGCUUAACUCGAUGCUUGCUUUCGAUACGGGCAGACUUGAGGUAUGCAGGGGAGAAUGGAAUUCCUGGUGUAGCGGUGAAAUGCGCAGAUAUCAGGGGGAACACCGGUGGCGAAGGCGGUUCUCUGGGCAUUACCUGACGCUGAGGAGCGAAAGUGUGGGGAGCGAACAGG
rnacentral:rRNA from 1 species